UCAGUCGACUCCUACGGGGAGGCAGCAGUGGGGGAAUAUUGCACAAUGGGCGCAAGCCUGAUGCAGCCAUGCCGCGUGUGUGAAGAAGGCCUUCGGGUUGUAAAGCACUUUCAGUCGUGAGGAAGGUAGUGUAGUUAAUAGCUGCAUUAUUUGACGUUUAGCGACAGAAGAAGCACCGGCUAACUCCGUGCCAGCAGCCGCGGUAAUACGGAGGGUGCGAGCGUUAAUCGGAAUUACUGGGCGUAAAGCGCAUGCAGGUGGUUUGUUAAGUCAGAUGUGAAAGCCCGGGGCUCAACCUCGGAAUUGCAUUUGAAACUAGGCAGACUAGAGUACUGUAGAGGGGGGUAGGAAUUUCAGGUGUAGCGGUGAAAUAGCGUAGAGAUCUGAAGGAAUACCGGUGGCGAAGGCGGCCCCCUGGACAGAUACUGACACUCAGAUGCGAAAGCGUGGGGAGCAAACAGGAUUAGAUACCCUGGUAG
rnacentral:rRNA from 1 species